UACGUAGGGGGCUAGCGUUGUCCGGAUUUAUUGGGCGUAAAGAGCGUGUAGGCGGCCAGGUAGGUCCGGUGUGAAAACUCGAGGCUUAACCUCGAGAUGUCAUCGGAAACCAUCUGGCUAGAGUCCGGAAGAGGAAAGUGGAAUUCCUGGUGUAGCGGUGAAAUGCGCAGAUAUCAGGAAGAACACCCGUGGCGAAAGCGGCUCUCUGGAACGGUACUGACGCUGAGACGCGAAAGCUAGGGGAGCGAACGGG
rnacentral:rRNA from 1 species